UAGGGAAUCUUCCGCAAUGGGCGAAAGCCUGACGGAGCAACGCCGCGUGAGUGAUGAAGGUCUUCGGAUCGUAAAACUCUGUUAUUAGGGAAGAACAAAUGUGUAAGUAACUAUGCACGUCUUGACGGUACCUAAUCAGAAAGCCACGGCUAACUACGUGCCAGCAGCCGCGGUAAUACGUAGGUGGCAAGCGUUAUCCGGAAUUAUUGGGCGUAAAGCGCGCGUAGGCGGUUUUUUAAGUCUGAUGUGAAAGCCCACGGCUCAACCGUGGAGGGUCAUUGGAAACUGGAAAACUUGAGUGCAGAAGAGGAGAGUGGAAUUCCAGGUGUAGCGGUGAAAUGCGAAGAAUUAUGGAGGAACGCCAGUGGGGAGGGCGACUUUCUGGUCUGUAACUGACGCUGAUGUGCGAAAGCGGGGGGAUCAAACAGG
rnacentral:rRNA from 1 species